UGAGAUGUGCUGAAGCUGGUAAUUAUCUUC
rnacentral:piRNA from 2 species